GACGAACGCUGGCGGCGUGCCUAAUACAUGCAAGUAGAACGCUGAAGGAGGAGCUUGCUUCUCUGGAUGAGUUGCGAACGGGUGAGUAACGCGUAGGUAACCUGCCUGGUAGCGGGGGAUAACUAUUGGAAACGAUAGCUAAUACCGCAUAAUAUUGACUAUUGCAUGAUAGUCAGUUGAAAGGUGCAACUGCACCACUACCAGAUGGACCUGCGUUGUAUUAGCUAGUUGGUGGGGUAACGGCUCACCAAGGCGACGAUACAUAGCCGACCUGAGAGGGUGGUCGGCCACACUGGGACUGAGACACGGCCCAGACUCCUACGGGAGGCAGCAGUAGGGAAUCUUCGGCAAUGGACGGAAGUCUGACCGAGCAACGCCGCGUGAGUGAAGAAGGUUUUCGGAUCGUAAAGCUCUGUUGUAAGAGAAGAACGAGUGUGAGAGUGGAAAGCUCACACUGUGACGGUAUCUUACCAGAAAGGGACGGCUAACUACGUG
rnacentral:rRNA from 1 species